rnacentral:rRNA from 1 species
AUUGAACGCUGGCGGCAGGCCUAACACAUGCAAGUCGAGCGGAUGAGGAAAGCUUGCUUUUCGAUUCGGCGGCGGACGGGUGAGUAAUGCCUAGGAAUCUGCCUGUUAGUGGGGGAUAACUCGGGGAAACUCGGGCUAAUACCGCAUACGUCCUACGGGAGAAAGUGGGGGAUCUUAGGACCUCACGCUAACAGAUGAGCAUAGGUCGGAUUAGCUAGUAGGUGAGGUAAUGGCUAACCUAGGCGACGAUCCGUAACUGGUCUGAGAGGAUGAUCAGUCACACUGGAACUGAGACACGGUCCAGACUCCUACGGGAGGCAGCAGUGGGGAAUAUUGGACAGUGGGCGAAAGCCUGAUCCAGCCAUGCCGCGUGUGUGAAGAAGGUCUUCGGAUUGUAAAGCACUUUAAGUUGGGAGGAAGGGUAUUCACCUAAUACGUGGGUACUUUGACGUUACCAACAGAAUAAGCACCGGCUAACUCUGUGCCAGCAGCCGCCGCAGUAA